GACAUGCAGCAAAGGGCCCAGGCUGGAAUCGGCCAAUGCGUGACUGAGAUGUUAAAGCUGCACUGAACGUGAGAAUAACCAUAACUCUUGGAGGGCGUGUUGCUGUCUAUCUCUGUGCCUUUUUUGAUACCACCACUGGGGGGCACCAACAUCACAAAUUUCGAAAUGCGACACACACUUACUUUAAGCCUUAUCGCCUAUUUUUUUUUAACACUGCCACCAAGUGACAUGUGUAAAGUAAUUAAACUAAUAUGACCCUGAUUUGAUGAGGAAACACUUUUAAAUGUGUGUUUUUAUUCUUGCAGGAAAAAAAGUGUAUAGCAGUUUGACAUUGGAUUCAAAAGUCAGCCAUUUGCCAGAAAUGUGUUUUCUUUAAUUCAGCUAAAUGUCUCUAUGGAAAUGUGUCUCUCUGUGCCCACUGAAGUUUUAUUUAAUGAUAAAAUAAAUGUUUGAUUUCA